ACUUAAAUUGAAGAGUUUGAUCAUGGCUCAGAUUGAACGCUGGCGGCAGGCCUAACACAUGCAAGUCGAGCGGUAGCACAGAGAGCUUGCUCUCGGGUGACGAGCGGCGGACGGGUGAGUAAUGUCUGGGAAACUGCCUGAUGGAGGGGGAUAACUACUGGAAACGGUAGCUAAUACCGCAUAACGUCGCAAGACCAAAGUGGGGGACCUUCGGGCCUCAUGCCAUCAGAUGUGCCCAGAUGGGAUUAGCUAGUAGGUGGGGUAACGGCUCACCUAGGCGACGAUCCCUAGCUGGUCUGAGAGGAUGACCAGCCACACUGGAACUGAGACACGGUCCAGACUCCUACGGGA
rnacentral:rRNA from 1 species